rnacentral:rRNA from 1 species
GUUCUUGAAAUUUAAAAGAUUUGGCGGUAUCUUAGUCUUUUCAGAGGAACCUGCCCUAUAAUUGAUAUUCCACGAUUUAUUGUACUUAAAUUAAAAGUUUGUAUAUCGUCGUAGUUGAAUGUUUUAUAAGAAUUAGAUUAACAUUCAAUAUUUAUAAUCUAAUAAAUUAAAUCAGAUCAAGAUACAGCUUAUAUUUGAGAAGAGGUGGGUUACAAUAAAAUUAUUUAUGGUUAUAAUAAUUAAAAUUAUUAUUUAAAUUGGAUUUGAAAGUAAUAUACUUAAGUUAAAGUAUAUGAUUUAAGCUCUGAGAUAUGCACAUAUCGCCCGUCGCUUCCAAUGAAUAUUUAAAUUGGAAUAAGUCGUAACAUAGUAGGCGUACCGGAAGGUGUGCCUAGAUUGACAAAUUAAAGCUUUAAAUGAGUAUUUUAUUUACAUUAAAAGGGUAAUUGUGAAAAUCAAUUUAAUUUGAAUUUAAAAAUUUAUUAUAUUUUAAAGUUUUAUAUAGUUUAAAAAAAAUAUUUUUAUGUUUAUUUAUUAAUUUAGAUAAAAUUAUUUAUAAUUAUAGUUUAUUAGUAUAGUGAUAGAACAUUGAAAAAUUUGAAAAUUUAAAAUAUUUAAAAGAAAGUUUAAUAUAUUGUACCUUGUGUAUCAGGGUUUAUUAAAUAUAAAUUAUUAAUUUUAAUUUUCUCGAAUUUAAAAGAGCUAAGAAAUUAUUUAUUUUAUUGUAGAAUAAAUAUUUAUAAUAAUUUUUUAGUAAUGAAACGUUAUUCGUUUUUAAAUAUAUCUAGUUUUUUAAGAAAUAAAUUUAAUUUAGUUAAUUAUUUGAAUAUUUAUAAUUUUUUAUUUUUAUUAAUAUAAUUAAUUAAUAUUUUAAGGGAUAAGCUUUAAAAUAAAAUUUUUAUAAAUUUUAUUUAAAUUUUAUGUAUAAAUUAAUAGGAUUAGAAUUUUUUAUUUUUAAUAAGAUGUUAUAAUGAAUUUAUACUUUAAUUAAAUUUUUAUAAAAUUUUAAAUUUUAUAUUAAAAUUAUUUAUUUAAUAUUAAAAAUAUAUGCAAUAAUGAUAAAAUUAGUAUAAUAUAUUGUUUAAUAAUUUUAAACAUUAAGGUUAAAUUAAGGAAUUCGGCAAUUUAUUUUUCUGCCUGUUUAUUAAAAACAUGUCUUUUUGAUUAUAAUUUAAAGUCUGGCCUGCCCUAUGAGGAUUUAAAUGGCCGCGGUAUUUUGACCGUGCAAAGGUAGCAUAAUCAUUAGUUUCUUAAUUAGGAACUGGUAUGAAUGGUUGGACAAGAAAAAUACUGUCUCAAUUUAAUUUUUAUUAGAAUUUUAUUUUUAAGUUAAAAAGCUUAAAUAAUUUUAAAAGACGAGAAGACCCUAUAGAGUUUUAUACUUUAUUUUUUAUUUAAAAAUUUAAGUAUUAAUAAGUUUAAUUAGAUUAAUAAAGUAUUUGAUUGGGGUGAUUAAAAAAUUUAUAAAACUUUUUUUUAAUUUAUACAU